rnacentral:rRNA from 1 species
UACGUAGGUGGCAAGCGUUGUCCGGAUUUACUGGGCGUAAAGAGCGCGCAGGCGGUCGUGCAAGUCGCGUGUGAAAGCCCCCGGCUCAACUGGGGAGGGUCACGCGAUACUGCUCGACUCGAAGGCAGGAGAGGGAAGUGGAAUUCCCGGUGUAGUGGUGAAAUGCGUAGAUAUCGGGGAGGAACACCAGUGGCGAAGGCGACUUCCUGGCCUGUUCUUGACGCUGAGGCGCGAAAGCUAGGGUAGCAAACGGG